rnacentral:rRNA from 1 species
UACGUAGGCAGCAAGCGUUGUUCGGAGUUACUGGGCGUAAAGGGUGCGUAGGCGGCUUGGUAAGUGUGGUGUGAAAUCUCCCGGCUCAACUGGGAGGGUGCGCUACAAACUGCCGGGCUAGAGUGCGGGAGAGGAGAGUGGAAUUCCUGGUGUAGCGGUGAAAUGCGUAGAUAUCAGGAGGAACACCGGUGGUGUAAACGGCGUCUCUGGACCGUAACUGACGCUGAGGCACGAAAGCGUGGGUAGCAAACAGG